rnacentral:rRNA from 2 species
UGGGGAAUAUUGCACAAUGGGCGCAAGCCUGAUGCAGCCAUGCCGCGUGUAUGAAGAAGGCCUUCGGGUUGUAAAGUACUUUCAGCGGGGAGGAAGGGAGUAAAGUUAAUACCUUUGCUCAUUGACGUUACCCGCAGAAGAAGCACCGGCUAACUCCGUGCCAUCAGCCGCGGUAAUACGGAGGGUGCAAGCGUUAAUCGGAAUUACUGGGCGUAAAGCGCACGCAGGCGGUUUGUUAAGUCAGAUGUGAAAUCCCCGGGCUCAACCUGGGAACUGCAUCUGAUACUGGCAAGCUUGAGUCUCGUAGAGGGGGGUAGAAUUCCAGGUGUAGCGGUGAAAUGCGUAGAGAUCUGGAGGAAUACCGGUGGCGAAGGCGGCCCCCUGGACGAAGACUGACGCUCAGGUGCGAAAGCGUGGGGAGCAAACAGG